rnacentral:pre_miRNA from 1 species
UCUUACGGAUAAACAAAGAAAGUGGUUUCAUCAGACAGAAUCCACUCAUGGUGAGGAUGCUAUGAA